GUGAUACUAGCUCAAUGGCAGAGCACCAAGACUUAGCUUGGAGGUCCCAGUUCGAAUCUGGGGUAUUACU